rnacentral:rRNA from 1 species
UUAUCUUUUUGUGAACCAGUGUAUGCUUGGUCCUUUGUCAUGUGGAAGCUUUAGAGCGAGUCACACGCCGUUCAGUACGACUGGGUCUAUGANUUAUAUAAACCUUUGUAUGUUUUUGAAUGUCUUUUUAUUGGCCGUAAGGACUCAUGCUAAGAUCUAUACNACUUUCAACAACGGAUCUCUUGGCUCUCCCAUCNAUGAAUAACGCNNCGAANUGCGAUAACUAAUGUGAAUUGCACGAAUUCACGUGCAAUCAUCAAAUCUUUGAACGCAGCCUUGCGCCACUCUUGGUAUUCCGCAACGGUGCAUGCUUGUUUGAGUGUCAUUAAAUUCUCAAAAACCUUUGGUUUGUUCUGAACGCUUUUGGAUGUGAGGGCUUGCUGGCUUUCGGGUCUGCUCCCGUUUAAAUGCAUUAGCUGGACUUCCUUUGAUGAACGGUCACUUGGUGUGAUACACUCUCAUCUACGCCGCUUGACUUGAAGCAAGCCUUAUGGGAGUUCGCUCAUAACCGUCUUUCGAGACAACUCUAUUGACCAUUUGACCUCAAAUCAAGUANGACUACCCGCUGA